UGUUAAAAAUUUUAUCCAUUUAUACAGUUAAAAAGUAGCGUAAUUGAUGGAAUAACCAAACAGUGACAAGUGGUGGCACGCAUAUAUCUCAUGCUAACAUAUGGCAACCAAUUUUUAACCAUAGAAAUGGAUGAAAUUUUUAAUA
rfam:Gossypium raimondii Chr01_contig_147, whole genome shotgun sequence.